AUGGGUGGCAUGCGGAUGCGCAUGGAGCCACGGACGCCGCCGUCCCCAACGACGCCCCAUCCCGGCGCUCCUCGACUCCCGCUUGGACGGCGACAAGUUCGAGCCGUGUCCGUCGACCCCGACGUCGCGCUCGCCUACAAGUUCCCCGAGGUCUCCUUCGCCUACGACGAGAGGUGCGGGCCUUAG
rnacentral:rRNA from 1 species